AACACUGAAGCGAGGUGACGCCAGAAGCCAUCUUCCCAGUACCUUCCUCCAUGGGCAUGGUCUCAAGAGUUUGGCCAAAUAGGCGGUCGCUUUCUGAAGGGCCAUAACAGCUGGAUCUUUCAGACCAUUGGGUGCCACCUUGGAGCUCACGAAAGGUUCAGUGGCGACCACAAUAUUUGUGGUCUCUAUUAGCAGCCAAGCAAGAAGGCAAGGCGUAAGUGUAGGUUAAAAAAAAACUUGAGUGGAUUGCAAGGAAAAGACUGCACAAGUGCAGUAACUUAUUCAUUUGUUACUUUGUGAAGUGCCCUUACUAGAGGUUGUUUUGUUGUAUGGUUUUAAACUGAACGGAAAAAUUGGACUAUGAAGCUGGAG
rnacentral:lncRNA from 1 species